CUGCUGCCUUCCGUAGGAGUCUGGGCCGUGUCUCAGUCCCAAUGUGGCCGGUCACUCUCUCAAGCCGGCUACUGAUCGUUGCUUUGGUAGGCCAUUAUCCUGCCAACUGGCUAAUCAGACGCGGGGCCAUCGUAUGCCGAUAAAUCUUUUCACACCAUGCCAUGCAGCAUUGUGUGCUUAUGCGGUAUUAGCAGUCAUUUCUGACUGUUGUCCCCCUGCAUACGG
rnacentral:rRNA from 1 species